rnacentral:rRNA from 1 species
UACGUAGGGGGCAAGCGUUAUCCGGAUUUACUGGGUGUAAAGGGAGCGUAGGUGGCGUGCCAAGUCAGGAGUGAAAACCCAGGGCCCAACUCUGGGACUGCUCUUGAAACUGGCAGGCUUGAGUGCUGGAGAGGUAAGCGGAAUUCCUAGUGUAGCGGUGAAAUGCGUAGAUAUUAGGAGGAACACCAGUGGCGAAGGCGGCUUUCUGGACUGUAACUGACACUGAGGUACGAAAGCGUGGGGAGCAAACAGG